rnacentral:tRNA from 1 species
CGAAGAAUAGUUUAAGAAGAAUUCUAGCUUUGGGGGCUAGCGGCAAGAGUUUGAAUCUCUUUUCUUUGA